UACAGAGGUCCCAAGCGUUGUUCGGAUUCAUUGGGCGUAAAGGGUGCGUAGGUGGCGUCGUAAGUCGGGUGUGAAAUCUCGGGGCUUAACUCCGAAACUGCAUUUGAUACUGCGGUGCUUGAGGACUGGAGAGGAGACUGGAAUUUAUGGUGUAGCAGUGAAAUGCGUAGAUAUCGUAAGGAAGACCAGUGGCGAAGGCGGGUCUCUGGACAGUUCCUGACGCUGAGGCACGAAGGCCAGGGGAGCAAACGGG
rnacentral:rRNA from 1 species